ensembl:lncRNA
AUGGUUUCCUAUACCUGUUAGGGUGGGUGUCGUUCCCAGUAGGGGCAGGACUGCAUGGUUUCCUAUACCUGUUAGGGUGGGUGUCGUUCCCUAGUAGGGGCAGGACAGCGUGCAGCAACCGGACAGGUGUGUGUUUUCAGCAGGAGACGAUGUGCUGCUCAGUGGGGGUUCUUACCGCCUUGUUAGUGAGAGAGAGACAGAGGGGAGGGGGGUAUUGUGGGAAUCUUUAAUCAGGAUUGCUCAUUCGGCAGGUCAUAGUCUAUGUUUGUGAGAGAGAGAGGAGUGUGGAGACUGUAGAGGGGGAGACGGAGAGAAGAGAGAGAGAGGAGUGUGGAGACUGUAGAGGGGGAGACGGAGAGAAGAGAGAGGAGACCGGAGACAUUAUAACCACCUACCACUAGAGGGCGACUAAUACACAGUUUUGUUAGUUUGUAAUAUGUUCAUGGUAAGAAAACAAACUGGGAAGAUUUGUAAGGAUUCUGUAUGGAGGAAUGGUCUAAGAUCACUCCCAAUGUGUUCUCCAACUCAUAACACCUUUUAGAAAAAGGCUCAGUGCCGUUAUCCACACAAGGUGAGGUAUUGAAAAGGGUGUCAAUUUUGACCCCGAACCUUUAGAGAGAAAAAGUAUUACUUGUUAAUGUCACAACAGCUUACAGAUUUACAUGCCUUGGGGUGCCAUGUUUCAAUUUUGUGUCUUUCGUAACAGUAGGUCAAACAACAUGUGCGGUGGCAAUCCUCACAGGGUGUCAAGUUUAAGGGUUGCAUUGGGCACUGCAUCCUGACAUACUGAACAGUUAUAACGGCACGAGUGCCCCCCCUUUCGGGUGUAGCCGGUAUGGCAGGAUGGACACACAUAUGGGCCGCCUAAAAAAGCAGUGAUGUUUGUAACGGCGUAGUAAUGUUCGUUUUGCACAUAAAAGUACAGAAUCUGAGGGUGCGGUUGGGGGGUGUUUUGGAACUUCAAGAGAGCUGCAUUAGCUCUACUGUGGUACAAAACCACAAUCUUGAUAUUCAGAAAGUUUUCAAAUUUGACUAUGUCCGAGAAAGCCACCUCCUCCUGUAUACCGAGACCCACCGCCUCCUGUAUACCGAGACCCACCCCAUCCUGUAUACCGAGACCCACCGCCUCCUGUAUACCGAGACCCACCGCCUCCUGUAUACCGAGACCCACCGCCUCCUGUAUCCCGAGACUCACCGCCUCCUGUAUACCGAGACCCACCCCAUCCUGUAUACCGAGACCCACCGCCUCCUGUAUACCGAGACCCACCGCCUCCUGUAUACCGAGACCCACCCCA